AGAACUUUAAAAACGGCAUGGAAUUAGCUAUGCAUCGGCUGUACAGUUAAGUCUGAGCACCUCAAACCCAAGAGCGGAGGAGACGCCUGGAGUUCUCAGAAGCAUUAAGCAAAAUGAAGAAUACUAGAAGAUGUUGACUACCUGAAAGGCCCCUCGAGCAAACGCCUGCAUAGAGUCCGACUGGUACCCCACAGCCGAGGGACAUGAGACGUGUUCUACCUGUUCAUUAAGGAAUCCUGCAAAUGCAU